rnacentral:snRNA from 1 species
GUGCUCACUCUCUUCUGUCAA